rnacentral:rRNA from 1 species
UACGUAGGGUGCGAGCGUUAAUCGGAAUUACUGGGCGUAAAGCGUGCGUAGGCGGUUCGUUAAGUUCGUUGUGAAAGCCCCGGGCUCAACCUGGGAAUGGCAAUGGAAACUGGCGGGCUGGAGUAUGGCAGAGGGGGGUGGAAUUCCGCGUGUAGCAGUGAAAUGCGUAGAGAUGUGGAGGAACACCGAUGGCGAAGGCAGCCUCCUGGGCCAGCACUGACGCUCAUGCACGAAAGCGUGGGGAGCAAACAGG